GCACUGAGCAUGUGCUGUGACCCCCCCCUCCCUCCUCUCCUGUUUCCGUAAAUAAAGCACCGCCACACAGCCGCGCACGGGGAGGAGGGCUGCACCACCACCGCCAGCCCAGCCACAAAACGCAGCGACGAGAAGACGUCGGCUGCUUCGCCUAGCAAGCUAGUGUGCAGGGAAGUGGGGCCCUUUGCAAGGGAGUCUGAGACGGGCAACGUACGUUCGGGGAGGAAGAUCAGAAAGAGCAGAGAAACUCCGACCUACUUCUGUGAUUCUAAUCACAGUACCUCCGACAAUAAAACAGCCUUCUUGGGGAUCUCGGUGAGAUCUGUUCCUUCAUCUGGCCUACCUCGCAGGGCUGGCAUUUUGUCCCCAUCGCAGUGAUCCUCCCGGUGACUCUGGUAACUUCCCCAGCGCGACUGAUUCCUUCCCCCCCCCAGCUGUUCCCUCUUCUACGGAAGGGCUAAGAUCUUGCAACCCUCCAGAUGUUGCUGAGUUACAACUCAGGGAAGUGGGAGCCGUCCUUCAAGCAACACAGGGAAUCUCUGCACGGUUGUUAAGCGAAUCCCGGCUUCCCCGUCGACUCUGCUUGACGGAAGGUCGCAAAAAGGGGAGAAUCGCAUGACCCCGGGAGGGCGGGAGGAUGACGACGCUACGACUGUCGUAAAGAGAGAACCUCCUGCCAGGAAUUUGCCACCGACUAUUUUUUUCCACCUGGGAAACAACCGAGGCCCCCAUGAGCUUUUCGGGAAAACGCAAAUCACUUUGAGAAGGGUAAAGGGAAGGAGGGGAGGGGGAUGCCAGACAGCCUCGGAUCCCCCUUGCUUUUAAACUGCGCUCAGCAGGUUUUUUCUUUUUAAAGCCAGGCUAAAUGAAAUGCCAGCCGAGGAGAUUCGCAUUCGAGGCAACGGCAAGCUCAUUGAUGAUGCCUCCCGGGAACCAGGAGGGGCGAAA